AUUGAACGCUGGCGGCAGGCUUAACACAUGCAAGUCGAGCGGGGAAAGGUAGCUUGCUACCUAACCUAGCGGCGGACGGGUGAGUAAUGCUUAGGAAUCUGCCUAUUAGUGGGGGACAACAUCUCGAAAGGGAUGCUAAUACCGCAUACGUCCUACGGGAGAAAGCAGGGGACCUUCGGGCCUUGCGCUAAUAGAUGAGCCUAAGUCGGAUUAGCUAGUUGGUGGGGUAAAGGCCUACCAAGGCGACGAUCUGUAGCGGGUCUGAGAGGAUGAUCCGCCACACUGGGACUGAGACACGGCCCAGACUCCUACGGGAGGCAGCAGUGGGGAAUAUUGGACAAUGGGGGGAACCCUGAUCCAGCCAUGCCGCGGGUGUGAAGAAGGCCUUUUGGUUGUAAAGCACUUUAAGCGAGGAGGAGGCUACCGAGAUUAAUACUCUUGGAUAGUGGACGUUACUCGCAGAAUAAGCACCGGCUAACUCUGUG
rnacentral:rRNA from 1 species